GAGACAGCAGCCGCCGCGGGAAUACGAAGGGGGCUAGCGUUGUUCGGAUUUACUGGGCGUAAAGCGCACGUAGGCGGAUCGAUCAGUCAGGGGUGAAAUCCCAGAGCUCAACUCUGGAACUGCCUUUGAUACUGUCGAUCUGGAGUAUGGAAGAGGUGAGUAGGAUUCCGAGUGUAGAGGUGAAAUUCGUAGAUAUUCGGAGGAACACCAGUGGCGAAGGCGGCUCACUGGUCCAUUACUGACGCUGAGGUGCGAAAGCGUGGGGAGCAAACAGGAUUAGAUACCCCCGUAGUCCCUGUCUCUUAUAC
rnacentral:rRNA from 1 species